rnacentral:rRNA from 1 species
GCAGCAGUGGGGAAUAUUGCACAAUGGGGGAAACCCUGAUGCAGCCAUGCCGCGUGUGUGAAGAAGGCCUUCGGGUUGUAAAGCACUUUCAGUAGGGAGGAAGGUAGUGUAGUUAACACCUGCAUUAUUUGACGUUACCUACAGAAGAAGCACCGGCUAACUCCGUGCCAGCAGCCGCGGUAAUACGGAGGGUGCGAGCGUUAAUCGGAAUUACUGGGCGUAAAGCGCAUGCAGGCGGCCUGUUAAGUCAGAUGUGAAAGCCCGGGGCUUAACCUCGGAAUUGCAUUUGAAACUGGCAGGCUAGAGUCUUGUAGAGGGGGGUAGAAUUUCAGGUGUAGCGGUGAAAUGCGUAGAGAUCUGAAGGAAUACCAGUGGCGAAGGCGGCCCCCUGGACAAAGACUGACGCUCAGAUGCGAAAGCGUGGGGAGCAAACAGGAUUAGAUACCCUGGUAGUCCACGCCGUAAACGAUGUCUACUUGGAGGUUGUGGCCUUGAGCCGUGGCUUUCGGAGCUAACGCGUUAAGUAGACCGCCUGGGGAGUACGGUCGCAAGAUUAAAACUCAA